CAAAUAGACUACCCUGGUAGUCCUAGCCCGUAAACCGAUACUCGCUAGGUGUCGGCCACGGUGCGACCGUUGUCGGUGCCGUAGGGAAGCCGUGAAGCGAGCCACCUGGGAAGUACGGCCGCAAGGCUGAAACUUAAAGGAAUUGGCGGGGGAGCACCACAACGGGUGGAGCUUGCGGUUUAAUUGGAUUCAACGCCGGAAAUCUUACCGGGACCGACAGCAACAUGAAGGCCAGGCUGAAGACUUUGCCGGAUUAGCUGAGAGGUGGUGCAUGGCCGUCGUCAGUUCGUACUGUGAAGCAUCCUGUUAAGUCAGGCAACGAGCGAGACCCACGCCCACAGUUGCCAGCGUACUCUCCGGAGUGACGGGUACACUGUGGGGACCGCCGCUGCUAAAGCGGAGGAAGGAAUGGGGCAACGGUAGGUCAGUAUGCCCCGAAUAUCCCGGGCUACACGCGAGCUACAAUGGUUGGUACAAUGGGUAUCUACCCCGAAAGGGGAUGGAAAUCUCCUAAAGCCAAUCUUAGUUCGGAUUGAGGGCUGCAACUCGCCCUC
rnacentral:rRNA from 1 species